GGGCCCCAAAAUUACUAGUGUAAAACCAUCCAAACGGGAAAACCAACGGUCUAAUCUAUAUAAAAACGAGAAACGAGAAACACGUAUACAUUAUAUAAACAAACGACAACUACUGUAGAUCAGAUUCCUGACUUAGGACAGGUGCAAACAUUUGCAGCGGGAUUAAACAUUUUGAUGGUACCAAACCUUCUCCCUUUUUCUUAAACAAUAGCA
rnacentral:lncRNA from 1 species